AAGCUUCUUCGGAAGCUCGUGGCUCCAUUUGUGGAUGAUUGGCUGCUUCGGGAUCCUGUAGCUGACUCGCCUCGGGUGCUUCUGAGGUCUCAGCCCAGCCAAUCACUGUCAACUUCUGCUGAGGAAAAUCAACGUAGAUGUCAUUUAUGCCUGCAAUGAUCGAUGACACUUGGGCCUGAGGUUAACGUUUAAGAUAUCGGAGAGUGAAACCGUGGAAAUGAGAAGUUAGAACACUCCGAAUGAUACAAAUCUAAAGAAGAAGAAGAAGGAUUGCUCUCCUUGAUAAAAGGAUUGAUCUGUAAUAGGGAUGCAUUGCUUAUGUUUUACCUCUAACUCUGAAGCCAUGGCGACCAAAUGAAGAAGAAGAAGAAGAGGAGGAGGAGGGUUUGUACAAUGAGGGGAAAUAAUCAAAGGGCGUGGCUUUUUAUUUGGGGUUACAAGGAGAGGGAAUAUUUGAAAGGAAAAGGUGUGUGGGACAUCUCAAGAAUCUUUCUUUUCUUUUUCCUUCCGUGUGAAACUUGCCUGCAAAAAUUUGUUAUCUAUACCACCCUUUAAUUCUUCUUU